UCUGUUUUUUCCAAAUGUGAAUUCUUAUGUAGAAUGUUUUGCUUCCGACUUGCAAUUAGUAAUAGUAAAUGGAUAAUGAAAAUGAAUUUUAUAUCAAUCGCAGUACAACCAUGAAUAUGCUUUCCAUUGUUUCUAAAGAAUAAAUAAAAUCGACAUGCCCUUAUUGCAUUCGCUCUUUGCUUUUGAAGCUUCCAAAAUGCUAAGAGGGGGUCACUAUCGGCAUGGUAAUGCGGCCACAGGUCACGAUUUCUAGGUCCAUGGAUGAGAGUAUGCAGUCCUAGGGAUGGGAUGGUAGCAACAUCGGCAGACAAAACAACCAACGUCUCUUUUUUUGGAUGCAUAAGUAGCACACAUGGUAGAAUAUGCAAUGUGGUGUUGAAAAAAAACGCGUUAACACUAUGGCUUAGAACUCUUUUAGGAUAGUAUCACAAAGAACAUGCAAUGUGGUUUGGGGAGAAUGGACAUAGCAAUUAAACUGCUUUUGUUCCUGCCUUAUUUAUAUUUAAACACACUCCUCGUUUUUGAUGGUUUGUUAUUGUAGGUAGACAUGAUGGAUGAGUAGUAUGCUACUGAUGAAGAUGAUUAAGUACGAUGUCAUCUACUCUCAUUUGGAGUAGGCCGUUAUGUCUGAUCUGUCAGCUUCCCACACAUCUGGAGGGCUCCUUGCGAAAUAUAUUGCGUCUUCUACCAGGAAGGAGAUCACAUCCAUUAUAGUAUCCUGAAGGAAUUUUGGCUCUUGUUGUCAAGAAAUUACUGCAUUAAGUGAGCACAGAGAACAUUUGGCUACAACAGCAC